ACGGGAGGCAGCAGUGGGGAAUAUUGGGCAAUGGGCGAAAGCCUGACCCAGCGACGCCGCGUGAGGGAAGACGGUCUUCGGAUUGUAAACCUCUUUCAGCAGGGAAGAUAAUGACGGUACCUGCAGAAGAAGCCACGGCUAACUACGUGCCAGCAGCCGCGGUAAUACGUAGGUGGCAAGCGUUAUCCGGAUUUAUUGGGUGUAAAGGGUGUGUAGGCGGGACUGCAAGUCAGAAGUGAAAAUCAUGGGCUCAACCCAUGACCUGCUUUUGAAACUGUGGUUCUUGAGAGUGGGAGAGGUAAACGGAAUUCCUGGUGUAGCGGUGAAAUGCGUAGAUAUCAGGAGGAACACCGGUGGCGAAGGCGGUUUACUGGACCAUUACUGACGCUGAGACACGAAAGCGUGGGGAGCAAACAGGAUUAGAUACCCUGGUA
rnacentral:rRNA from 2 species